CUUUUUUAUUUACCUGUUUGUCUCUUUGCUAAUACGCCAUCUUAACUGAAAUUUCCCACUUUGUUCAUCUUCAGACUAGAAGCAAGUUCAAAGUGGAGAACAGUACUCUCAGGAUGGUCGUCCAGUUCCAUUCCCCUACUUCAGAAAGAAUUAAAGCCCAAAAUGGUGCUGCGAUUUGCUAAAUGGAAGAUCUGGAUUAGAAUUCGGAUGUCCCAACCGAUAUCAUUAACUCACUCUGCAAGAAUAUGGCCAAAGUGAACGGAAUGACAUCUGCUUCUCAAAAAAAAAAAAAGUUAUAGAACAAAAGUUGAGGGAAAGCCUCUCUAAAUCCUGCAGAACCUCCAACCUUAAAGUGCCUCACUGAAUCCUCUAAGUACGUAAUUGUUAACAAAGAUUCCUUCUCAUAAUUGGAAUCGUGAAUGUUACUGUGCUUCUAUUAUUGCUCUUGAAUUAGAAAUACCCAGAAUGUAAUGCAGGAGACUGGUGAGGGCAGCUCCCGCCUGCAAACUGCGUCACUGAGGAAAAAUAAACAAGAUGGGGUAAACUGAGAACCUACCCAAAGCCAAAGGGAAAAAAGUAUAAGGCACAGAUUUUUUUCUGCUGGAAAUGGCUGGCGUCGAUACCUGUACUGGG